rnacentral:rRNA from 1 species
CAGCCGCCGCGGGAAUACGUAGGUGGCAAGCGUUGUCCGGAAUUAUUGGGCGUAAAGGGCUCGCAGGCGGUUUCUUAAGUCUGAUGUGAAAGCCCCCGGCUCAACCGGGGAGGGUCAUUGGAAACUGGGAAGCUUGAGUGCAGAAGAGGAGAGCGGAAUUCCACGUGUAGCGGUGAAAUGCGUAGAGAUGAGGAGGAACACCAGUGGCGAAGGCGUCUCUCUGGUCUGUAACUGACGCUGAGGAGCGAAAGCGUGGGGAGCGAACAGGAUUAGAUACCCCCGUAGUCCCUGUCUCUUAUAC